CCUACGGGCGGCAGCAGUGGGGAAUAUUGGACAAUGGGGGCAACCCUGAUCCAGCCAUGCCGCGUGUGUGAAGAAGGCCCUCGGGUUGUAAAGCACUUUCAGUGAGGAAGAACGCCUGGUGGUUAAUACCCAUCAGGAAAGACAUCACUCACAGAAGAAGCACCGGCUAACUCCGUGCCAGCAGCCGCGGUAAUACGGAGGGGGCGAGCGUUAAUCGGAAUUACUGGGCGUAAAGCGCGCGUAGGUGGCUUGAUAAGCCGGUUGUGAAAGCCCCGGGCUCAACCUGGGAACGGCAUCCGGAACUGUCAAGCUAGAGUGCAGGAGAGGAAGGUAGAAUUCCCGGUGUAGCGGUGAAAUGCGUAGAGAUCGGGAGGAAUACCAGUGGCGAAGGCGGCCUUCUGGACUGACACUGACACUGAGGUGCGAAAGCGUGGGUAGCAAACAGGAUUAGAUACCCGGGUAGUC
rnacentral:rRNA from 1 species